rnacentral:rRNA from 1 species
GAUGAACGCUGGCGGCGUGCCUAAUACAUGCAAGUCGAGCGAACAGAUGAGGAGCUGGCUCCUCUGACGUUAGCGGCGGACGGGUUAGUAACACGUUGAUAACCUACCUAUAAUACUGGGAUUACUGCGGGCAACCGGAGCUAAUACCGGAUAAUAUAUUGAACCUCAUGGUUCAAUGGUGAAAUACGGUUUUGCUGUCACUUAUAGAUGGUUUCGCGCCGCAUUAGCUAGUUGGUAAGGUAACGGCUUACCAAGGCAACGAUGCGUAGACGAACUGAGAGGGUGAUCGGCCGCACGAGAACUGGGACGCGGUCCAGACUCCUACGGGAGGCAGCAGUAGCGAAUCUUCGGCAAUGGGCGAAAGUAUGACAGAGCAAGGCCGAGUGAGUGAUGGAGGUGUUCGGAUCGUAAAGCUCUGUUAUUAGGGAAAAACAACUGUGUAAGUAGAUAUGCACGGAGUGACGGUAACUAAUAAGAAAGCAACGGCUAACUACGUG